GGUUCCGUAUAUCUAAAGAUGAUGCAGGAGCCAGAACUAGGGGCUGGAUAAUGGAGAAGCUUGCAUGCUAAACUUAUUACGAACUUUAUUUUGAAAGUAGUGGAACGUUAUUGGACCACUUCAAAAGCGGAGUGUUACGUUCAGGCUUGAAUUUUAGAAAUAUCUGUCUGGUAGCCAUGUGCAGGUUGGUUGGAAAGGGAGGCAUCAGACAGGAGACGAAUGAGAAAGCUGUUGCAGUCAUCUGGCCUUGCUCAUCCCUUACUUAGGCUACAUUUUCAAAAGUCAGAAAAAACUUUUUCCUGAAGAAGGGGUUUCUGAGACAAGGACCCCUAUUUGUGACCAAUUGUAAGAUCAUCUGAAGAUCGAGUCCGAUUGCCUGGCCAGGCCGGGCUGGGUGGUAUGUGCCCCCGUCACGCCGGAGGUUCCUGCUUUAGCGACGCCAAAGAUUGGGUGUGAGGGCAGCCCGCGGUGACAGAGACACGGAUCGGACCGAGAGAAAAAGGCUGUGGGCUUCACUGAGCAGAGUGACGGAAGUAUUCAGGCCCUCAGGAGCGGUAACUAAAAUGGAGAAGCUGCGCUGAAAGGUGCCGUGGGCAAGUCAAAAUUAAAAGUCAAUUCACAGGACCUCCACAGUGUGCCUUUUGCUGGGUAGGAAAAUGCCAGCCAGCUUGGAAAACAAGAAGACACAUUUAUGUCUACCAUGAGCAUUGGCAUCAGCCAAUUAUCCCACACGUUUUCGGCUAGUCAGUGCUGAAGAGAGCAAGGAAUUUCAACCCUUCUUGCUACAUUCAAGACAUAGAAAUCCAGCCAGAAGACAACUCGAGAUAUUUUGUGGAUCUAUGCCUUUCCUUCAGAAAAGCAAAUAUCUACCAUAAAAAAACACUGGUCCAAUAUUCACUUCUAUAAGAAAUGCAGGGGCAAAUAAAUUAUGGAUUUUAUUAUCGCUAAUAGAGUCACUUAACCAUUACUCCUUACUACAUUCUGCUUUUCUAACAAAAUUUCGACUGAAUAUUCUCCCUCAGAGCCUCCAAAAGGAACCAACUGAUGACAACUGAUUUUGGACUUCUGGCCUCCUGAACUAUAACAAAAUAAACAUCUGUUGUUUUAAGCAAGC
rnacentral:lncRNA from 1 species